rnacentral:rRNA from 1 species
UGCAAGUCGAGCGCCCCGCAAGGGGAGCGGCAGACGGGUGAGUAACGCGUGGGAAUCUACCCUUUUCUACGGAAUAACGCAGGGAAACUUGUGCUAAUACCGUAUGUGUCCUUCGGGAGAAAGAUUUAUCGGGAAAGGAUGAGCCCGCGUUGGAUUAGCUAGUUGGUGGGGUAAAGGCCUACCAAGGCGACGAUCCAUAGCUGGUCUGAGAGGAUGAUCAGCCACAUUGGGACUGAGACACGGCCCAAACUCCUACGGGAGGCAGCAGUGGGGAAUCUUGCGCAAUGGGCGAAAGCCUGACGCAGCCAUGCCGCGUGAAUGAUGAAGGUCUUAGGAUUGUAAAAUUCUUUCACCGGGGACGAUAAUGACGGUACCCGGAGAAGAAGCCCCGGCUAACUUCGUGCCAGCAGCCGCGGUAAUACGAAGGGGGCUAGCGUUGCUCGGAAUUACUGGGCGUAAAGGGAGCGUAGGCGGACAUUUAAGUCAGGGGUGAAAUCCCGGGGCUCAACCUCGGAAUUGCCUUUGAUACUGGGUGUCUUGAGUAUGAGAGAGGUGUGUGGAACUCCGAGUGUAGAGGUGAAAUUCGUAGAUAUUCGGAAGAACACCAGUGGCGAAGGCGACACACUGGCUCAUUACUGACGCUGAGGCUCGAAAGCGUGGGGAGCAAACAGGAUUAGAUACCCUGGUAGUCCACGCCGUAAACGAUGAUUGCUAGUUGUCGGGAUGCAUGCAUUUCGGUGACGCAGCUAACGCAU